UGUUCCGUAUUAACAGUAUAUUUUAGAGAAGGUAAUGUCAACAGUCACUAGAAUGAUUUGUUCUGUAUUAACAGUAUAUUUUAGAGAAGGUAAUGUCAACAGUCACUAGAAUGAUUUGUUCUGUAUUAACAGUAUAUUUUAUGGAAGGUAAUGUCAACACUCACUAGAAUGAUGUUUUCCGUAUUAACAGUAUGUUUUAUAGAAGGUAAUGUCAACAGUCACUAGAAUGAUUUGUUCUGUAUUAACAGUAUAUUUUAGAGAAGGUAAUGUCAACAGUCACUAGAAUGAUGUGUUCCGUAUUAACAGUAUAUUUUAUAUCUUUACUGGUAUAUUAUAAGUUUUCAAAUGUCAUCAAAUAAUUUUUAUUUUCUUUCGUACA
rnacentral:lncRNA from 1 species